rnacentral:rRNA from 1 species
UACGUAGGGCGCAAGCGUUGUCCGGAAUUAUUGGGCGUAAAGAGCUCGUAGGCGGCUUGUCACGUCGGGUGUGAAAGCCCGGGGCUUAACCCCGGCUCUGCAUUCGAUACGGGCUGGCUAGAGUGUGGUAGGGGAGAUCGGAAUUCCUGGUGUAGCGGUGAAAUGCGCAGAUAUCAGGAGGAACACCGGUGGCGAAGGCGGAUCUCUGGGCCAUUACUGACGCUGAGGAGCGAAAGCGUGGGGAGCGAACAGG